UACGAAGGGGGCUAGCGUUGUUCGGAAUUACUGGGCGUAAAGGGUUCGUAGGCGGUGCGGCAAGUCGGAAGUGAAAUCUCCAGGCUUAACUUGGAGGCUGCUCCCGAAACUGCCGUGCUAGAGUGCGGGAGAGGCGAGUGGAAUUGCAGGUGUAGCGGUGAAAUGCGUAGAUAUCUGCAGGAACACCCGUGGCGAAGGCGGCUCGCUGGACCGCAACUGACGCUGAGGAACGAAAGCUAGGGGAGCAAACAGG
rnacentral:rRNA from 1 species